CCUACGGGAGGCUGCAGUGGGGAAUAUUGGACAAUGGGGGCAACCCUGAUCCAGCCAUGCCGCGUGUGUGAAGAAGGCCCUCGGGUUGUAAAGCACUUUCAGUGAGGAAGAACGCCUGGUGGUUAAUACCCAUCAGGAAAGACAUCACUCACAGAAGAAGCACCGGCUAACUCCGUGCCAGCAGCCGCGGUAAUACGGAGGGUGCGAGCGUUAAUCGGAAUUACUGGGCGUAAAGCGCGCGUAGGUGGCUUGAUAAGCCGGUUGUGAAAGCCCCGGGCUCAACCUGGGAACGGCAUCCGGAACUGUCAAGCUAGAGUGCAGGAGAGGAAGGUAGAAUUCCCGGUGUAGCGGUGAAAUGCGUAGAGAUCGGGAGGAAUACCAGUGGCGAAGGCGGCCUUCUGGACUGACACUGACACUGAGGUGCGAAAGCGUGGGUAGCAAACAGGAUUAGAUCCCUGGUAGUC
rnacentral:rRNA from 1 species